rnacentral:rRNA from 1 species
GACGAACCGUGCGAACGUUAUUCGGAAUUACUGGGCUUAAAGCGCGUGUAGGCGGGCCGGCACGUCCGUCGCUGAAAUCCCACGGCUCAACCGUGGAAGUGGCGUGGAUACGACCGGCCUCGAGGGGGGUAGGGGGACCUGGAACUUCCGGUGGAGCGGUGAAAUGCGUUGAGAUCGGAAGGAACGCCCGUGGCGAAAGCGAGGUCCUGGACCCUUUCUGACGCUGAGACGCGAAAGCCAGGGGAGCGAACGGG